GAAGUCAAAUUGAGGAUUCAAUUGGCGUUUUUAUUAUGAUAACUUUAACUUAUCAUAGGGUUUUGGAAAGCUUGAGGAAUCAGCGUUAAAGACCUAAGCAUAAAUUUAAAAAAUAUUAAAAUUAAAAUAGCGACCUCACUUAGAGUUGAAUUAGAGAGCUCGUUUUUUGGGAAGAUUUUAUUUCUCGGCAACCACUGACGCCUGAGGACGCCAUAUGUAUAUUUGAAUACAUGUCACAUAUAUCCAGAUAUAUAUUUUUUUCAUAUUGGUGCUUUAUCAAUACUAAUGUGAUGUAAUAUGACCAUGUUACUAGUCACAAGGUUGUUGGGUCAUUUCAUGAAAAACAAAUAAAUGUUCAAAAAAAACUUAACCUUUCUAUGAUGAUCUUUAGUUAUUUUGUACAACGCAAUGACAUAAAUAACACGAGCUUACAUAAAUAAAUAUAGUGGGGACAGUUAAUAUAAAUUGCCAUUUAAAUUAUUACUAAUCCAUAAAGUAAUUGGUCAAAGUAUCGAUAGCUUCUGAAUAAACUAUAGCAGAAGAUUUACUCAACUACUGCUAUAAGAAAUGUUCAACAUGAAGAUAUUUUUGUUGGCAGUUUUGCUAGUGGCUUUGUUUGCUGCCGAAACUUCUGCAUGCCUUCCAAACGGCAGCGCGUGCAUGUCAUAUGGUGUGGCAUGUUGUCAAGGUUGGUGUAAUACUCUGGGGAGUAGCUUUGGGGCAUGUAUGUAAUAAAUUACCUUGAAUUAACUUUGGAUUUCAAAAUUUGAUUUGAAAAUAAACAAUAAAAAAAUUCUACGGCAUAACAAAUUUGUAUUACAAGCUUCUGAAUAUUUUUUAUCCUAAAAAUUUAUUGAACCUGUAUUUUUGAAGAUGUUCUGUAUUUUAUUUUAAAUAUUAGAAAAUAAAUUUGAUUUAAACAAAA